rnacentral:rRNA from 1 species
UGGCGAACGGGUGAGUAACACGUGGGGAAUCUGCCUAUAAGUGGGGGAUAACAUUCGGAAACGGAUGCUAAUACCGCAUAUAUUCAAAAACCGCAUGGUUUCUGAAAGAAAGACGGCUUUGCUGUCGCUUAUAGAUGAUCCCGCGGCGUAUUAGUUAGUUGGUGGGGUAAUGGCCUACCAAGACCAUGAUACGUAGCCGACCUGAGAGGGUGAUCGGCCACACUGGGACUGAGACACGGCCCAGACUCCUACGGGAGGCAGCAGUAGGGAAUCUUCCACAAUGGGUGCAAACCUGAUGGAGCAAUGCCGCGUGAAUGAAGAAGGUCUUCGGAUCGUAAAGUUCUGUUAUUAGAGAAGAACAAGUCAAGGAGUAACUGUCUUGACUUUGACGGUACCUAACCAGAAAGUCACGGCUAACUACGUGCCAGCAGCCGCGGUAAUACGUAGGUGACAGGCGUUGUCCGGAAUUAUUGGGCGUA